AUACGUAGGUGACAAGCGUUAUCCGGAUUUACUGGGCGUAAAGGGCGUGUAGGCGGUCUUGCAAGUCAGAAGUGAAAUUCCUGAGCUCAACUCGGGCGCUGCUUCUGAAACUGCAGGACUUGAGUGCUGGAGGGGAUAGCGGAAUUCCUAGUGGAGCGGUAAAAUGCGCAGAUAUUAGGAAGAACACCGGUGGCGAAGGCGGCUAUCUGGACAGUAACUGACGCUGAGGCGCGAAAGCGUGGGGAGCAAACAGGAUUAGAUACCCUGGUAGUCCACACUGUAAACGAUGAAUGCUAGGUGUAAGAGGUAUCGACCCCUUUUGUGCCGGAGUUAACACAAUAAGCAUUCCGCCUGGGGAGUACGGCCGCAAGGUUGAAACUCAAAUGAAUUGGCGGGG
rnacentral:rRNA from 1 species